rnacentral:rRNA from 1 species
UACGGAGGGGGCUAGCGUUGUUCGGAAUUACUGGGCGUAAAGAGCUCGUAGGUGGUUUGUCGCGUUGUUCGUGAAAACCGGGGGCUUAACCCUCGGCGUGCGGGCGAUACGGGCAGACUUGAGUACUGCAGGGGAGACUGGAAUUCCUGGUGUAGCGGUGGAAUGCGUAGAUAUCAGGAGGAACACCGGUGGCGAAGGCGGGUCUCUGGGCAGUAACUGACGCUGAGGAGCGAAAGCGUGGGGAGCGAACAGG